UGACCUCACAAUAUGUUUUGGUAGUUCUUUCCCCUUUCCCAUUCACUACAACUUCCUUCCAAGCCAAAGGCCUUCCCUCCCAGCAGCAAAAGCAGUCAGAGGAUGAUGUUCCCUAGUCUAAUCUGCUCUUUCCUUCCUUCAUUCAUUCAAUCAAUCAUUCACUCAGCUGGCCAGCAGACACUGGAUGACCACCCCUGGGCCAGGCCUUGUGGCAAAUGCUACAGUAAUGACCAGACGCAUCACACCCGCCUUCUAGAAGCCCUCCCUCACAAACCGGAUCAACUGCUAUGAUAAAGGAUUAGGCAGUGGAACAGUCCUUGUGAUCCUGAAGUUAGCAACGCCCUAGCCUCCUUCUUUCAACACCAGCUCUCACUUCUUGUCUUAGAUUGCUUUGCACCUUCCUGUCCCUUAAUUGAUGUCAGGACCUGAAUAUAUUUGAUAGUGAUUUGAAGCACUGAUGCUACAAAUGAAAGAGAUUGAUGCUGGGCCCUGGGACCAGGACAUGUGACAGAGCCAGAUUCCUUCAGGGCUGAUGGGCAUGUGCUAGGACUGACACAGGCUAGCAUCUCCCGAGAAGACGUAAGGACAAGCAACUCCAAAUGGGGAUGACAUUGAUGACUCUUCCACCUCUCCUGGUAACCUCCCCAUGCCCAUCAUGUCGUUGCACCUCUGACAGUACUAGGAGAGGUGCCAAAAUGAGGGACAGUACUUGGGAGGACACCAAAAUGGGGGAAAGUUUGUGAAAUGUUGCAAUGGGAGAAAGGAACUCAGUGGCCCAUGUAAAUCUGGGAUAUGUUUGAGAUGUGGCAUUGCCUGUCUCUGUGUCUUCACAAGGAUAAUAAGCUUCUCCAGUGUUACUGUAAGCCAGUGUGAUCCCUAUCUUCAUUAAUUUUUGCCUGGAAACUCCUGGCCCAUGACUAUUGUAAAAAGUCCUGGCAAAGUGUGCCUAGCCAACAUCCACUCUCCUCUACUUCCUUACUAUCAAAACCUUGCAUUUGUUUAGGAUGGCAAUGUGCCAACUAGAAAAGCCACACUUGACCGGGCAUGGUGGCUCAAGCCUGUAAUCCCAGCACUUUGGGAGGCCAAGGUGGGCGAAUCACAAGGUCAGGAGUUUGAGACCUGACCCCUUCUGUUGGUGGGGCGGAGGGGGUGGGGGGAGGGCAGUCCAAGGGUGGACCCUGUCUCUACUAAAAAUACAAAAAUUAGCCUGGUGUGGUGGUGGGCACCUGUAAUCCCAGCUACUCGGGAGGCUGAGGCAGGAGAAUUGCUUGAACCUGGGAGGAGGAGGCUGCAGUGAGCUGAGAUCCCACCACUGCACUCCAGCCUGGGUGACAGAGUGAGACUCCGACUUAAAAAAAAAAAGCCACACUUAACCUCCUUUGCAGCUAAGAGGCAACAUACAUGGCUGGACAGUGAGAUUGUGUUAAUGUGGAUUAUUCCUCCACAAAUAUGCAUUCUUCUCCUCUCCAUUGUGAAUAGAGUGUAAGUACUUACCCGUUGAUGCUGAGCUUAGUAACAUGACUUCCUUUGGAAUGUUAGUGGAAGGAAUAAGCAGAAACCUUUUAUUUGCUUGCAUAGUUUGAUUUCCUUCUUUUCAUGAUUCACCAUUAGAAGAACCCACCCAGGUAAUCACUGCUUGCUCGGAUCCCAGCAAAUUCUAGAUCCCAGAACUAGUGCUCUUAGAGCCAAGGCCAGCCGAUCCAAGUCUGGACUACUGCUCAGAUGAGCCGAGCCUGAAUUUGGGAGUGGUUGUUACAGAGCAUUACCCUGGCAAUAACUGACUGAUGCAGAGAUGUAAAUAGACAUCACUGGUGGAGCCCCCAGGAAAGCUCUUUAACAGAAGACAGACUCAGCUGGCAGGUUUCCCGUCUCCUUGAAUGAAGACAGGCUCAAUGCUUGGAGGGGUGAGAGGAGGCAGCCGUCUUACAACCACAGGUCACAGGAAGACACUAAACAAGGCCGUGUGGAAAGAUAGAAGGAGCCUCCAUCCCUCAGCACCACAGAGACAUUGUAUCAGCCUAGAAAUGCCUAAAUCUGAACUUCCUCUUACCUAAGAAAAAUAAAACCUCAAUUUGAUUCAA